CCCUACGGGAGGCAGCAGUGGGGAAUAUUGCACAAUGGGGGAAACCCUGAUGCAGCGACGCCGCGUGAGUGAAGAAGUAUCUCGGUACGUAAAGCUCUAUCAGCAGGGAAGAAAAAAAGUCUUUGGCUUUGGACGGUACCUGACUAAGAAGCCCCGGCUAACUACGUGCCAGCAGCCGCGGUAAUACGUAGGGGGCAAGCGUUAUCCGGAUUUACUGGGUGUAAAGGGAGCGUAGACGGCAGUGCAAGUCUGAAGUGAAAGGCAAGGGCUCAACCUUUGGACUGCUUUGGAAACUGUGCUGCUAG
rnacentral:rRNA from 1 species